CUUUUAGUACAGCAGCACAGUAUAGCAGUGGCCGUGGGUGGUGGGUCUGACAUGCGAAGCUAGCAGUUUGUGUAGCUAGAUGUGUUGGAAUGAAACAGAGUGCCUAGUGGGUUGAGAGUUGUAUCCAUGGGCAAGUAUAAAUUAUGGGUAUUGGUUUGCAUUUGGGGCCCAGGCAUAGGCAGGAAUCGCAGAAGGAAUAGGUUUGUCACUUUGAAGUCUCAGAAAGUGUUGCAGACACCCAGUAGCACCCAGCACCAUUAAAAGUGAGUGACUAGGAAGUGUUUCCAGAUAGUGCAACCCACUGUCCCAUGGUAUAAUCCAGGAAAGGUUUGUUUUCUUCAGUGUGAAUGUAUAUUUUGGUAGAGUGUGCCAUUCACGUUAAGACUGAAGUGGCUUAAAUUGAGGAAACCUAGCAGGAAGGUAACAAAUGUUCUAAGCCAAUAAAUGGUAUUUAAGCGUUUGAAAUCAUGAGGGUAGGACUGUGAUGGAUUCUGUGAUAUUUCCAGCAGUCACAUUUCUGGCAGAGUUAUGCAGACUUGGUUCAUAGCAGAGCAUCCUGCUUUAGGCUGAACAUACAUUUUAUGUUACAGGGAAUAAUUUGGCAAUUUGAGUCUUGCAUUUUGUGGCUUUUAACAUCUGGGUUCUGAAUAGGUUCUGUGUCAAUAGAGUGAGACUGACUGGCUUCGUGAACUGUUUGGAAUUUCUGUGCUUGUAACAAAAAGAGAUGCUAAGGUGUGACUUCCAGCCUGCUAUUUCGGAGAAAGGAAAGGACGUGCUGGUUUAUGGGUCCCCUUAUCUUCAACACCUGUGGAAAUCACAACUGGAUUAAAAAAAAAAAAGAACAGCUGUAUUCAAAUGGGAACCCAGUUGGAAGGAAGCUGAGAUGCAGGAAUUCAGUUUUAAAUAAUAGACAUAAUUGCCCUUAAGGGUUCAAAUUAAAAGUGAGGCCCUUUUUGGUUUACGUACUUGACAUAAGCAGAUGGAAAUCAUAUUGAGUGUAACUACAGAUUAAUGCAAGUCAGGAAACAUACUUUUGUAAGGAAGUGAGAGUCAGAGAGACUGCACUGUAAAAAUGCAAUGUGGUCUAACCUUGGUUGGCUAAUAAUGUACUUUAAUGGGAGUUGCUGCAGGCAGAUAAAAUUCUCUUCUGCAUGAAUUUCUGAGCAGUCAGGCUAAGAAGGGAAAGGAGGAACAUGGAACUUGAGCUCUCUUUAUGGCUUAGAACUUGAGCCCCUUUUGUCUAGAAAUAAUUAAAGGAGAAAAUCUUUUACUAGGACCAAGUCAGUUGCUUAUGAACGUAUCUAAUAAAAUUGAAAUAGUGGCAGUACUCUCUAGGCACAUUAGUUCUAUUUUGAAAGUUGGCAAAGAAGAAUUUUAAUUUAGAGAAUUCGUAUUGAAGUAGUCUAAAACUUGUGGGUACAGCUGAAGGGAUUUACAGUUUUGAGUGUUCAAGUUUUGUGCAUUUCUUCAUAUUUUUUUUAGCCUAGCUGACCGGUCUGCAUAAUGAAACAAGAUUUUUUUUUAAGGCCCUGUAAUGCAGAGGGAUUUAGAACUACAGACUGCUUCUGAAAAUGUUUUCAUUCAUCCCUAAACGUGAUGAUAUUAUUCAAACUUAAGAACCAUUCAGAGUCAAGAUAAAUGUACCUAUGCUGUCCUCCUCACAAGUGCCUUCUUAUACCAUUCUCUUUUUUUUUAACAGAAAGCCAGCAAGCCUUCGCACAUCUUUCUAAUCUGAAACACAGCAAAAUCUGUCUCUCAUUUUUGCUGUUGAGUGUUCAAACCCCAGGAAUUGUGUUUUUUAAUCUGCUCUGUAUGUAUUCCUGCGGUUUACAUUUUUUUGCUAAUUAAAAUACUGCGUAUUUCUUUCACUCAUCUGAUGAGAAACAUUUGUAGUCCGUAUUUCCAGGAAUUUUUUAAUACUUUCUAGAAUUACAGCUGAGACACCACGUCCUUAUCAGCUUUUGUAAAUGGAGGAGGUCUGUGGGAGCAGAUGGCUAAAUUAGAAGGAAAUCAGUGAGUGAGUAGAAGCAGCUCCAUUGAUUCCAAAGCUGUAAAAUUCGCAAAGCAGCACUGUUUUUCAUCCAUAAAUGUUCUGCAGUUCAUGUUUUUUAUUUAGUUACUGCCUGUAUAAUUCUUGCUCCACAGAGUGCAGCUAAUACUUUUAUUUUACAAAAUAAACAACCUCAGAUUAAUUGGAUAAUAAAAGCUUUGCUACGCUUGCAUUUUUCUACUUUACAUGCUAUUACUGGAAGACUGAGAGAUAAGCUUUAUUUGUUUGGAGAUAUCUAGAGUGAUGGUUUCAACAAUAAGCCCUCAAAGAUCAAAUAUGCAUGUCUGCAAUUUUUUAAUGUAAAAUACGGUGACCUUUCCCCCUUCAGAUCCAGAUUAUCUAGGAUGACAUAAUUGUGGCAAUCAGGAAAUGAUAGAAGCAAUGAUGCUUUAGAAGACAUUAAUACAACAUAUACUUGCUUUUUAAUAGGUAGUCCUGCAGGUAUUUCUGCUUCUCUUUGCUGCAGCAUACUGAUAGUGAUAUGGACAGGUCAAAAUAGUAUAGAAUGCAGCUGACAGACUAGCAAGAGCUUGAAGCUUUUGCAUAUUUACUUUUCCAGUGCAGUCAAUCAAUCCCCUUAAGGAAUGGAACUGAAAUAAGAACAGUUUGGCUCUGAACUAACUAUAUAUCAUAUUGUUGCUGUCACAAGCUGUUUGCUCUUGUGACAGUCCAAAGUUUGAAUUGAAGGCCUCUGUGGAAAAUCGGCCUGAAGUCUGGAGGGUGUUGAAAUGCAGAAGUGAGGACUGGACCACAAUAUAGUCUUUUAAAAAUCCCUGUGGUAGUUUCUAAGAAGAUAGAGAAAACUAAUUCUGAUGGUCUAGCUAAGCUCAAAUUUGUUUGAUGCUUUGGGCUUCUAUAAUAUUCCAAAAUUCUAUGAUACAAGGUUUUAUUUCUACAGUCUUAAUGCAAAGAACAGAUUUAUGGUGCAGACCUAAGCAGAGGAGUUCUCAUGUUACUGUGUUGUUCUUGUAAUGGCUGUCAGCAUCUCUGGGUUUGUAAUGGUUUCUUAUUUUUCUUGAUUGCCAUUUGGAUACAUACCACUGUGACCUACUUUACAGGGUCGUAGUCAAACAGGAUUUCUAGUCUCUGUGAUUAAACCUUUGUGGUCUCUUUUUAAUAAAUUAAUUGCUCAUGCUUUCUUCUCGCUCUUCAUUUGUUUUCUGACCUGGAAAGUGAAAGCACAUUUCCACAUUUUUAUCUUCCAUUGGAAAUUGAAUAUAUUCAGCCAGUCUGAAAUCCCUGGGAAAAGAAGAUUCUGGCUAAAGGAGUUGUCAAAUGGCACAGUCUUGGCAAGAGAGAAGUUUUGUGCCAUCAGUUUGCAGUCCCCGUCCCUGAACACUACAGAAGAGCUUUGGGAAGAGUGUAUCUACAUCCAGGAGUGACUUUUCUCCUGUCUUGCCUCCCUGGUAAUUAGCUUAUCCAUACAAGGCUGAACGCUACGCUACAGGAGGAGUUCUAAACCACCUCCUGUAAUUGGUCCUGAAGUCAAAACCUACUUCACUGAACAUGAAGCUGAAGGGAAACUGAAGAAUAUAGACUAGGAUUUCAACUUAAUCUGGGGAACUGUGGAGUGUGCCGCACUUCAAAAAUCCAGAAGGAGAAUGGAAAACUAAACUUGCAUAAGCCUGAGUACAGCACACAGAUGAUUUGAGAAGGAUGCCUCAGAACGUAAUGACAUUACAUGACUGAAGGCACAGUGCUGGUAUUGUGAUAUCUGGAUUUGAUGGUGAAAGAG
ensembl:lncRNA